GCGCAGCUCUUGGGUCAAACGUCAAGUGAAAAGGAAAGUAGCAGAUCAGAAGCAACUCAAGCCACUGACUGAUUUUGGGUUAAAUUUUCGUGAUAAUCCAUCGGUACAAUUGGUUCCUAUUAUCAUACUGAGGGUGUGCUCCGAUUGCCCCAUCGCGCCAACAACAGCAGCACCUGAUUUGAUUGUCAUUGCAGCAGUGAAAGGAUGAGCCGCAAUGGAAGGCGCCGCAGUCGAAGUCGAAGUCCCCGGGGAAGGGGUGGAAUGGUUGGAAGUCGGUACGAAAUCGGUAAGCUGCAAACACUGCGGCCUGUGCAGUGGUCCCAGCUGAAGCUGGAAUCGAUCGUCCGUGAACCGUAUCGUUCGAAAGCAUCGUACCGGCGCUCGGAGCGUGAAAUUUCCGAGUGGCGCCGAUCGAAGGAGAUUACGACGAAGGGUCACGAUAUCCCGGAUCCUAUAUUUUCCUUCGAGGAGUCGGGCUUCCCGGCGGAGAUAAUCGAUGAGCUGCGGUACGCUGGAUUUACCUCCCCGACACCGAUCCAGGCGCAGGGUUGGCCGAUUGCACUGUCCGGCCGGGAUAUGGUCGGCAUUGCGAAGACGGGGUCGGGCAAAACACUCUCCUACCUGAUACCGGCACUGAUACACAUCGAUCAACAGCCGCGCCUACGCCGAGGCGACGGGCCUAUUGCGCUAAUUCUCGCACCUACGCGAGAGCUGGCGCAGCAAAUCAAACAAGUGGCCGACGACUUUGGCCGUGCGCUAAAGUAUAAGAACACUUGCCUGUUCGGCGGUGGGAAGAAGCGCAAGCAGCAGGAUGAUCUGGAGUAUGGGGUGGAAAUCGUUAUCGCCACACCCGGACGGUUGAUUGACUUUUUGUCGAGCAAUCAGACGAAUUUGCGUCGCUGCUCGUACCUGGUGCUGGACGAAGCCGACCGUAUGCUGGACAUGGGAUUUGAACCGCAGAUACGCACCAUCAUCGAGCAGAUCCGUCCCGACCGGCAAACGCUGAUGUGGUCCGCUACGUGGCCCGACAUAGUGGCGCGGCUGGUGAAGGAUUACCUGAAGGAUUACGCGCAGAUCAAUGUGGGCUCGUUGAAGCUGGCAGCGAACCAUAACAUCCUGCAGAUCAUCGAUGUGUGCCAGGAGUAUGAGAAGGAAUCGAAGCUGAGCAUCCUGCUGCGGGAGAUAAUGGCCGAGAAGGAAUGCAAGACGAUCAUCUUUAUCGAGACGAAGAAGCGCGUGGAUGAUAUCACGCGGAAGGUGAAGCGGGAUGGUUGGCCCGCGCGCUGUAUACAUGGAGACAAAUCACAAAACGAACGUGAUUCAACGCUGAACUCAUUCCGUUCCGGUAGGACGCCGAUCUUGAUUGCCACCGAUGUGGCAGCACGUGGUCUUGAUGUGGACGAUGUGAAGUUUGUGAUAAACUUUGAUUUUCCCACCACCUCGGAAGAUUACAUUCAUCGUAUCGGACGCACGGGACGGUGCAACAAUACCGGCACAGCGUACACGUUCUUCACGCCCAACAAUGCGUCGAAAGCGCGCGAUCUGAUCGAUGUGCUGAAGGAAGCGAAGCAGGUGAUCAAUCCAAAGCUGGUCGAACUGGCCAACAUGAAGAUCAAAGCGAGAGGCAAUCGACACAUGACUACGCGCUAUCCACGGGAACGACGAUCGCGCUCACGUUCCAAAUCAAAAUCCCGCUCACCGGUACGCAAUCGUAGGCCACCGCUGCCGGACAGACGUCGGUCACAUACACGCUCUCGUUCCCGGUCGCGAUCGCCCGUUCGCCGUUCGCCUGUAGUUCGGCGGGAUGUUCGCCCGAGAGCGGCAGGAUCACCCGGUCGGCGUAGCAUUUCGCGCAGCCCACGGCGCAGUGGAAGCGUUAGUCGUCGUCGAUUGGUUCCGGUCACGCGCAAACCAUCUCGUUCACCACCGCCUACCCGCAGUCCCGUCCUCAACCGAAGGACAAAUGGGCGCGAGCUGAAAAAUGGACGUUCGUUGAGCCGAGAACGGGAUCGCGAUCGGGAGCGUGACCGGGAACGCGACCGGGAACGUGAACGAGACAGAGACCGGGAACGCGACCGGGAUCGUACCCGGGAGCAGCGUGAUCGGGAUCGUCGCCGGCGUACCCGGAGCCGUAGCAGAAGCCGCAACGGCAAUGGUAGAGCUUCGUCGUACGAUCGGUACUAGCAGCACUAGCAGCAAUAAUGCUGCUCAUCGAACAACAAAAUGGUUAAGUGUCGUGCGAGGUACAAAAGCGGCAAAAAGCCAAACCAAUCGGCAAGACAAUGCAUUUUCAUCCCUACUAUCAUCGUUUAAAAAAACCUAAAAAAAUGGUGGUUUUUCCCUCCCCUAUUAAGCCGACUGACAAUCGUCGGAUCCUAUAAAUCGGAAUCACAAUCAGACGGUACGAAGGUGCGCAGAAGUAUUAGAACAAAGAACGUUGAACAAUCGGAACAAUUCCUAGCGAGCGCGAACGGUGAAUCGUGAACGUUAAGUAUAAGUAAACGCAAACGAAUAAGAAAAGAGAGAGAGAGAGCGAGAGAGCGAGAGAGGUCAGAUGAUAAGACAACCCGACCUCGUACGUGUUGGUGCCGCCGUUUUAAAACUAAACCAGAAGCAGAGAACCAAUCCUCCGAAAUAUACUCCCCUCGCUUUAGUGCGGCACCAGUGUGUGCGUGCGUGCGUGCGUGCGUGUGUUAAGGUAUGGAAAUGCAUUUUGUAGUUACGUUAGUUAGUUUUACACCACAAAAUCGUUGACAGCUUGAUGGGAAAGAGAAAGGUGUAGGAAUAGGCGAAAGAUUUUAGUUAUGCACUAGUGAACUAUGUAUAUGCAGAUGUAGUAGAUGGUAAUGCAUAAUCUUUACGAAUUCAGACGUUAUUUUUUUUAAAUGAGAAGAUGGAGCAAGGCAACAUACUUGUGUUGGGAUAGCGUAGAGCGGCAGUUUUCCCCAUACGCUGAGCUGACUAUUCGGCUAUGGCUGAACUCAAAGUUACAGAUCAAGCCGUCAGUCUCAUCGGGCCAUUAGGCAGGCGUGCGUUGGAUGUCUGUGUGUGUGUGUGUGUGUGUGAACAAAAAGGAUAUAAAAGAUAUAAUCAGAUGUCUGUAACUCUCAGCUUCUCUCUCUCACUCUCUCUCUCCACCCCAUUCCUAUUCUUAAUUAUGUAUAUUAUACAAACGGAAGUCAGUGUAAAAACAUACUCGAUUAUUGCUUUCUUUUUCAAA